rnacentral:lncRNA from 10 species
AAACACGUAGGCAAAGAGCCAGGAAAUUAGCUUAAAAGCAGUUUAUGGAUGGGAGGUGGGGCAGAUCUCCAGAGCUAUCCUGCCGCCAUCCCAGAGUGCCCCGUAUAAUGCUCAUGCUUGGAACCCUAUGUCCAAGUUGUAAGGAAGCCCAAGCAGCCCAUAAAGAGGCCCACGUUAAGAAGAACCAGGACCCACAGUCUAAGUGAACUCUCAGCUAAUAGCACCAUUUUGCCAACCAUGUGAGUGAACCAUCUUCAUAGUUGACUUGCCAGCCCCCAGUUGUGCUGCCCCAGAAACAUUGCAUGGAACAGAUGACCCUUCCCCCUGAGCCUGGCCCAAAUGGCAGAUUUGUGAACAAAAUAAAUGACUGUUGUCUUAAGCCCUAGAUUUUUGGGAUAGUUUGUUAUGUGGCAAUUGAUAAAUGGACAUGGGCCAUGCAAAUUCUCAUUGUUCUUGUCUUCCCCUAGUUUUCUAAAGGGAA